rnacentral:rRNA from 1 species
CCUACGGGCGGCUGCAGUGGGGAAUAUUGGACAAUGGGGGCAACCCUGAUCCAGCCAUGCCGCGUGUGUGAAGAAGGCCCUCGGGUUGUAAAGCACUUUCAGUGAGGAAGAACGCCUGGUGGUUAAUACCCAUCAGGAAAGACAUCACUCACAGAAGAAGCACCGGCUAACUCCGUGCCAGCAGCCGCGGUAAUACGGAGGGUGCGAGCGUUAAUCGGAAUUACUGGGCGUAAAGCGCGCGUAGGUGGCUUGAUAAGCCGGUUGUGAAAGCCCCGGGCUCAACCUGGGAACGGCAUCCGGAACUGUCAAGCUAGAGUGCAGGAGAGGAAGGUAGAAUUCCCGGUGUAGCGGUGAAAUGCGUAGAGAUCGGGAGGAAUACCAGUGGCGAAGGCGGCCUUCUGGACUGACACUGACACUGAGGUGCGAAAGCGUGGGUAGCAAACAGGGUUAGAUACCCUGGUAGUC